GUUUCGGCUAGCUGGGGAGCUAGGGGUUCCCUGCAGACGCAAAUCCCCUUUACGGCGCGGCGAAACCGAGGGACGGACUCGUUGACCGAAUCCGGCCCGGGACACUGCCGUAGACUCCUUGCCCUGCGUUACGCGGCGAAGAGCAAAACGAGCCAGGCCGGAAGGAGCAACUCUAAGCCCUUUGGCGCGUGCUCGCAGAAAACAAGGACGAGGCAAGCCUCGGCAAACCGGAAGCGGCCCAGCGUUUUCAACCCGCGGAGCCGGAAC
rnacentral:SRP_RNA from 1 species